rnacentral:rRNA from 1 species
GUGGCGCACGGGUGCGUAACGCGUGGGAAUCUGCCCUUGGGUUCGGAAUAACAGUUAGAAAUGACUGCUAAUACCGGAUGAUGACGAAAGUCCAAAGAUUUAUCGCCCAGGGAUGAGCCCGCGUAGGAUUAGGUAGUUGGUGGGGUAAAGGCUCACCAAGCCGACGAUCCUUAGCUGGUCUGAGAGGAUGAUCAGCCACACUGGGACUGAGACACGGCCCAGACUCCUACGGGAGGCAGCAGUGGGGAAUCUUGCACAAUGGGCGAAAGCCUGAUGCAGCCAUGCCGCGUGAAUGAUGAAGGCCUUAGGGUUGUAAAAUUCUUUCGUCAGGGAUGAUAAUGACCGUACCUGAAGAAGAAGCCCCGGCUAACUUCGUGCCAGCAGCCGCGGUAAUACGAAGGGGGCUAGCGUUGUUCGGAAUUACUGGGCGUAAAGCGCACGUAGGCGGACUUUUAAGUCAGGUGUGAAAUCCCGGGGCUCAACCUCGGAACUGCAUUUGAAACUGGAAGUCUGGAGAUCAGGAGAGGUUAGCGGAAUACCGAGUGUAGAGGUGAAAUUCGUAGAUAUUCGGUGGAACACCAGUGGCGAAGGCGGCUAACUGGACUGAUACUGACGCUGAGGUGCGAAAGUGUGGGGAGCAAACAGGAUUAGAUACCCUGGUAGUCCAC